rnacentral:rRNA from 1 species
GCGAAGAACCUUACCUACUCUUGACAUCCAGAGAAGCCAGCGGAGACGCAGGUGUGCCUUCGGGARCUCUGAGACAGGUGCUGCAUGGCUGUCGUCAGCUCGUGUUGUGAAAUGUUGGGUUAAGUCCCGCAACGAGCGCAACCCUUAUCCUUGUUUGCCAGCRMGUMAUGKYGGGAACUCCAGGGAGACUGCCGGUGAUAAACCGGAGGAAGGUGGGGACGACGUCAAGUCAUCAUGGCCCUUACGAGUAGGGCUACACACGUGCUACAAUGGCGCAUACAGAGGGCGGCCAACUUGCGAAAGUGAGCGAAUCCCAAAAAGUGCGUCGUAGUCCGGAUUGGAGUCUGCAACUCGACUCCAUGAAGUCGGAAUCGC